UACGUAGGGGGCAAGCGUUAUCCGGAUUUACUGGGUGUAAAGGGAGCGUAGACGGUGAUGCAAGUCAGAAGUGAAAGCCCGGGGCUCAACUCCGGGACUGCUUUUGAAACUGUACAGCUUGAUUGCAGAAGAGGACAGUGGAACUCCAUGUGUAGCGGUGGAAUGCGUAGAUAUAUGGAAGAACACCAGUGGCGAAGGCGGCUGUCUGGUCUGCAACUGACGCUGAGGCUCGAAAGCAUGGGUAGCGAACAGG
rnacentral:rRNA from 1 species